UUUCGCAUACUGUUUGUUCAAAGACAACUUUAUCUAUCCAGAUCUGGAUUCAAAUACCAACCGCGGAGAAUGUAGUUAACUUGGAUCUUGGUACCCAACUUAAAAGGGUAGUUCCUCAAAUGAUAAUAAAAAUAAAAUGUGAUAAUAAUAGACAACUCAGUGUUUCAUACAUAGAUUCA
rnacentral:lncRNA from 1 species